CCCCACCCCUUACGACCGCCCCUCUAUCGUCAGAUACCGAGGAAGAGGAAUCUGAGAAAUUCCUUACGACCGCCCGCCCCUCUAUCGUCAGAAACCGAAGAAGAGGAAUCUGAGAAAUUCACAGGGAACGGAGGCCAAAGACGGCAGUCAGCCGCUAUAUUAUUGCCCUGGAAAAAUUAGUGUUUUCCUCCACCUUCAACCCCGCACCCCUAGUCAUUAAUUUUCGAAUUUACUCACAAGUCUACCAACAAUCUGGACUGCACACGUUCGGUGCCUGAAGAGGUGGGCUGUGUUAUGACUCCCCUUCUACUACAUUUUCUUUCUUUACUACACAAAGCUUUGAGGGUCCUCGUGGACACGAUUUAGAUCAGUUUUUCAACAGUUUAAACGUUGUUUCACCAUUGUGUAUCUCAAGUUCCCAAUCUCACACCGAUUGGCGUCUGCACCCCUUGUCGAGUGGUAGCACAGCCAUCGGUGACUGCCCACGGGACCACCCACAAAAACCCUUCCUUAUGCUCCAUUGUUAAAAGCAGGUGGGGCGGGCAGAAGUAGGGGACUGUACCGAGCCAGAGCGAAGCGUUUGCCAGGCCUGGAGAGAGCACAGGCUCUGGACCAAGGAGUCGCUAGAGGGCAGCAUGGGAGACAUGAGCGGAAAUGGGCUGAAACCGAGGCUUUAGAGCCGGAUGCGUUGGGGAUUGUUCUGUCUUUAAAGGGGCAGGAAUGGCCGAGCCCUCCUACUGAUUAUGCAUUCCUUAUUCGAUCCUUUGUGAAAUAAGCCUCUUCCCACACCAUCCCCUCACCCCACCCCGCAGGAGCCUGGGUUGUGGGCGACUCGAGAGCACUGCCCUGGGAAUGCAGCCUCCAGAGGCUCUCUGUUCUCCCAGCUGUUUCUCGAGACUCCCCGAACACUGACACUCACAAGAACAGCGUCCGCUGGAUCCUCUUAGCAGCUCUUCAACGAUUCGGAACCAAUUCAGCACCGUUUUAAAAGUCUCCCUCUCCCUAUCCCACUUCCUCCUCCCCCUUUUCUCCCCCCUCUCCCCUCUCGUAAGCGUGCGCGCGCGCGCGUGUGCGUGCGUUUCCUUUCAUUUGGAAACUCGUUCAGAGCCACCGAAAAGUCUGGAGAGGCAUAAAUAUGAUUUCCCACGGAUUCCUACUUCCACGUCAAAUAAUGUCCGGAAACGUUGUCACCAAAUAAGUAUGAGAAUAUUAUUUUGGAGAAACAACUAACCCCUGCCGAAACAGAAGGCGCGAGGAGAGAAGGUGAGACUGGAAGACAAGGAAACCCUCUGCAUUCUCUGGUGGAGGAAAGUGCGAUUUGGAGAAGGGCUGCAGAGAGGUUCCAGUACGCAUACUUCAGCACCGGAGGGGGAUGGACAGCGUCUCCAGACGAGGCUGCAGCCACAGCAACAGAACUGCGCUGCCGCUGCCACAGCUGUUGUCCUUGCUACCACUGUCGUCGCCACGGGCAGCUGGGCUCCCUGCUCCUCACAGCUAAAAGGCAGUGCUUCCUAAUACCCCCUCGUCUCUCCUCCCCUUCCUUGAUAGACGAAAAGUAAGCCUCCUUAUUCACCUGCUACAACUACCACACAGGACUCUGAGGAGUACUCUUGUUCCACAAAUUAACCUCUCAGCAGCAACUUCAAGAAUAAUUUUUUAUAGGGGCCUGAGAGAAAUGCAAGCAGAAGAGUGAGUUCAAAAUUCUUAAAGGCUCUGAGAAAUCAUGGGCUCUGAAGUAGGGGUCAGAAUGCUUAAAGGCCCACUCAUUUUGAAAUAAAACAUUCUGGGAGAAUUGCAACCGUUUUGGGAAUAGCUUUGUGAGAGGAGGUUCCAGAGCUACUCCAAAACCCCACGUUAAAGAAACUAAAAGACUUCUAAAUCUUUCCUUGACAGGUCUCCUGUUCUGGAAAAGCCUUGCUAUCUGAAUUCCACAUUGUCUUGGACUACUUGACUAUUCUCCAGAAUGUUGAGAUUGCCAGAGAAGUGAAUUCUGAUAAAAAGAGAAUAUUGCUCUACCUAAACUCAAGUAAGACCAUUACUUUUCAAUAUGUCACUACGACAUCCUUUGCAGUGCCAUAGCACAUGGAUUUUAGGACUGCCUGUGAGGAGACAAAGACAGGGGUUUGUUUGCUGCAGGAUGGUAAUCAGGAGCCUUUCAAAGUCCGGCUGCACCUAGCCAAAGAUAUUUUGAUGAUCCAGGAACAAGAUGUGAUAUGUGUGUCUGGUGAGCCUUUGUAUUCUGGUGAAAGAACGGUGACCAUUAGACGACAAACUGUAGGAGGAUUUGGAUUAAGCAUAAAGGUAGCCUAUCCUUCCAGUCUAUUCUUAAAAAGGUUGUGCUAUAAUGC